UCGGAAGUUUUCAACAACUCUACUGGAAGAGACUAUUCAAAACCCUGUUUGUUGCACUUUCGUGAUAAAGGAACAGUUAAUAAAUUAUUCAAUAAGACAGCUAUUAUGCUCUAAGGCUAACGAUUACACAAAUGAAAGGUACAUCGCUUCCUAACAUGAUUCCAGAUUUAAUAAGUCAAUCUCUCCUGAUGUAAGAAUGGUUUUUGAUUUCUUUAGUUUCACUGGUUUUACUUUUAUUACUACUACUACUAUAUAAUCCAUUGCCAGGGAAGAAAAAUACAUCCAGAUUCUGAAGCAGAAAAUUUAUGGGAUUAAGUUAGAUGAACAACUCCAUAAACAUCUAUUUUAUAAGACAUUUGCCUAAUUGCCUUUCUUCUAGAACAACCUCAACACACACACCCCCACCGCCCCACCCCCAAAAAAAAAAAAGACGCACAGAGACAAAAAAGAAGAAGCCAGGGGUCACUCUUUUCUAUUUUCAGCAUACUUCAUCUAGUAUUUGUAUAAACUUUGUCCUGAUCUUAUAGUCACAUCUUAAAUAUACACUAAAAUAUUGUUCAUAUAUUCUAAUGAUUUGAGACCUCUAAGCAGACAAAUUACUGGAUUAUUAUCUGUCAAAUUUGUUAGCUUGCAGAGGCAAAUCAUACAGUCCAAAUCACCUAUGAGCCAUGAAGUUAUGUACUACAUUGAAAAUCUAAUUGACCUCUGCUUUAUAUAUCAGCCAUUACAAAUUGAACAGAUAGCUACAAAACAACCAAUUAAUGAUUAACCAACAAGUCCACAGUUACUAGAUUACAUCAAUCAACCAGUUGAGCAAAUUUGGAGAAAGAUGAUGUAUACUCUCACUAAGAGCAUUCAUUUAAUAUUUAAAUGAAUAAAAAAUAUAUUUCUACUUGAUUGUAUCCAUAUACAUGUUGGGAAAAAUCACCUCCCAAAUAUUGUUGUUUUUGAUAAAUUAGACAGAUAAAAUAUCAGCAUAUGCUAUAUGCUAAACAGAUUAAAUUUGCAAUUCCACCAAAAUAAUAACUAUGCAGGAAAUAAUGAGUAGAAAAUAUCCAACCACGAGACACCAAGAUUUUUACGUGGAAAACCCUCUAAAACUAAGAGGUAAAAACCACGGGACAAACUCCGAAUAAUUCACUAUAAUAAUUGAGAGAAUACAAAGAUAUCUUAAUUUGAGUACAAACUCAAAUUACUUCACCACAAUAACUAUAUGAUGGAACCCAAAUAAAACACCCUUUUAUUUGAACUAUCUUUUUCUUGCUCUCUUCCAUCCUCUCCCGGAUGGGAUUACUUUCACCCACCCUUUUCUUUUUCUCUCUGCUCUCAGAUGAGAGCUUGUAUUUUGGUGUGUCUAUUUCCCUUUCCUUAGCCUUCCUUUUAUAGCCGAAUGGAGGGAGGUAGCAAAGAAAAAGAACAGGCAGAAUUCAAAGGACUGAGGAGAAGGAAAAUUAAAUGGGCGGUCAAAUUCUUUAUUAAAUGGGUGAGGACCAAGGACUUUGACCAACAAUACACGCAUUUUUUGGAAGUAAUUAUAUCCGAAGUAAGCUUGUCCUGUUGCUCAUUUGGAGGGCUAAGAUCCUUGUUAGAAUUUAAGAACGAAUAAUAUUACAAUCACAGAUUAUAUGAAAGACGGAAAAAUAAGAACAUACGAUAUACCCAGGUUCACCGAUUUGGUUAGUCUUGCUUGUUUGAUGUAUUCAUAAGAUGACUCACACACUCUCUACAAUGAUUCACACACUAAACAAUAUUUUUUGUAGUAAUUAUCUGACAACAUUUCAUAACACAUAUAUUGUGAGUGACUCAGACUAGUGAGCUUUCCAGCAAGGUCACUGUAGCAGGACAAACGUUAUUGUUGUAUGGAGUUGCUGCAUGUGAACAUCAUAUUAAGAGGUAGGCCAGUGACAUGACAAGAGUAAGCUUCUAUCUACUCCAAACUAGUACCAAUUCAUGAAGGAUGUUUCCACUAAUCACUAGUAAACCUCGGUAAGAUGUGGGCUCAUAGCAAGUGAGCAGUCCAGUACACAAGCUUUGGAGUUUGAUUUUCAUCAAAGCUGGUCUUAGGGUCGAAAUGGAAUGCAAUGAGGAUAGAAAAUCAAAACUGUGGAACUAUGAGUUUAAAUAGUAUGCUCUAAACGAUUAAUCCUAUUAGUUAGCAGGUUAUAAGUAGAUGAGGAAGGUCUUAUCAGUACAUAAGUCAAGCUGAGACAGGCCAAGGCUAAUAUCAUUCAUUGGUUCUGGAUAGUCCUUCUUUAGUUCAGGUUUAAGAAAUGGUUUGAAAAAUUCUAAUACAGUUGUAAAAUUUCUAAUACAGUGAAGACUAAUUGUAGUCAAUUACAAGUGUGGCAUCAUUUGAAAUUCUUAUUAAUCAUGUUACGGUAUCUGAAAAACCUUUGGAACUGAGCCCCAUGUCUGCUUCCUGCUGAUUCAAUUUUGUAAGUUGUUCUAUCUUAUUUAUCCUUUUUAUACUCCCUUCAUAUAUGUAAAUAAAUAAAGGCC
rnacentral:lncRNA from 1 species